UACAGAGGUCUCAAGCGUUGUUCGGAUUCAUUGGGCGUAAAGGGUGCGUAGGUGGCGCGCUAAGUCAGGUGUGAAAUUUCGGAGCUUAACUCCGAAACUGCAUUUGAUACUGGCGUGGCUUGAGGACUGGAGAGGAGACUGGAAUUCAUGGUGUAGCAGUGAAAUGCGUAGAGAUCAUGAGGAAGACCAGUGGCGAAGGCGGGUCUCUGGACAGUUCCUGACGCUGGAGGCACGAAGGCCAGGGGAGCAAACGGG
rnacentral:rRNA from 1 species